GGUUUACUGUGGUUUACGUGUGGUUUACGUAUAGAAGAAAGUUUUCGCCUAUUGGAGGCACGGGUCCUUCGUCGGACGCUGGCUGGGGAUGUAUGCUGCGAUGCGGGCAGAUGAUGCUGGCCCAAGCACUGAUCUGCAGACACUUAGGGAGAGAUUGGCAAUGGGAAAAACAC